rnacentral:lncRNA from 1 species
AAGAGCAGAGAGCCACAACUCUGACCGUAUGGCUCGUGUUUAGUAGUGCCUCUUUAGUUAGUUUGUGAGAGAGACUCAACUGAGAAAUUUUUUUUUCUUGCUUCCUAUCUUCGAAAGUCUGUAUUACUGAUCCAUUCAACUUUGUAGGUUCUCUAAAGAAAAUUCUUCCCUGGGAAAGGUGAGAGGCUGAAGAAAAUGUAGCUAAAAUUAGUUUCAUUUAGGGCUCUGCAGAGGCAGCGGCAGCCACGGCAAAGGGAUGCAGGCAGCGUGGCUUCAGAAAUGAGCUCUUCACCAAGAUUUGAAAGAACCCUUCGUGCAUCUUAGUUUGUAAUUAUGGCCCAGCUCUUAGGGGGCACUUCACAGCUGAGCAUCUCCAGGUUUCCUUCCUCAGCUGCAAUAUUGGAAACACAUCCCAACCCAGAAGCAACUUGCUUUCUUUCUUCAAGGCAUAGAAGACCAUUGUCUGCAGUUUCUCAAACUCAGAAAUGGAAAAAAUCAUAAACUCAUAACAAAAAAUAAUCUUAGAACUUGAGAGUAGGAGUGAGGAGACAGCCUGUGACUCCGUUCCUGCCCGGAUAACCAGGCACAAGGCACCAGCGACUGUCAAUACCAACAGCAUCGCUGUACUAGGCUGUGCACAACCUCUUGAUUUCUCUCCACAGCAUCCACCGUGAAUGCAAACCUAUUCCUGUGAAACACAUUUUGAGGAGCAUAAAGACAAUACCAUGGAAUCCCAGGGGUUGACUGACCUAAGCUGCAGACCCACAGGCCUGCCAUCAGUGGCUGGAGAAGAUGGUUAAUGCUCAUGCUAAUUUAAAAUCGACUGUCCAUUGUGAACAGAGGCGUCAGCAGCCUCUCGUACAAACACUACAACAUUGAGUUUUGCAGGACUGGUGAUAGGUCCCUUCCCCCAUCAUUAUUACACUGUGUGGCUCAAGUGAAGCUGACUCACUCCUAGCAUCUGGGGUUGUCAAGCCAUGGACGCACAGCGCAUCAGGUGUUUCAUUUCUCUCUGAGGACAGAGACAGACCCAGCUGAAUCACUGAAACAAAGCUUCCCAGGAGAUUUGGAAGAAUUAUAACAAAAGAGGCCUUCCUUUCUCCAGAAACCGAGCUUCUAGAUCAUCUAUAAGCCUGCCUCUUCCAGUUACAAUCUUUACUCCUCAGAUGAGGGAAAUUGAUGUUAGAAAGAGAAGAACACAUUGCUGAGAAAGGCAAAUAGUUGAAGGUACUCUGAUAACACCAUUGGUGGUUUGAUGUGUUAAAACAAGGUUUUACUGCAUAGCCCUGGCUGGCUUUGAACUCUUGACAGUCCAUUUGCCUCAGCCUCCCCAACUACUAGGAUUAUAGGGAGACAUGAGCCUAUGGUUAGUUUGUGGAUGUUUUAAAAUUUUAAAAUAGGAUAUUUCAUUUCAUCGAAUUAUAGGACAACUAAGAAGC